AGUUGGUAAAGCAGCUCGAGGAGGAGAAAACUGAGGUUUCCCGCAGCAGCCGAUUUAACUUUGGCUUUGGGAAAUGAUCCAAUCAAAACUAAUCCAGAAGUUGCUCAACAUGUAACUGAGGAGUCAAAAAGUCAAAGAGCUUCAUCAUGGAGAAACUUGUUGUUUGUUAUGUCACUGAUUCAUGUUUAAAUAAUCAGUUGUUCAACUUGUAACACUUUAAGUGAAGUAAGCAAAAGCUCUUAUCAUCCAUCUAAAAUUCCCAAAUACUAAAGUUUUUCAGUCCUUGUUCAGUUGUACAGAAAAACUAAUAAACCUUAUCAACUAAAAAUAUGCUGAAAAUGCACUGCUGAUUUAUUAACUUAAUUUUGUUUUUUGAAAGAUUUUAAACUUGUUUUAAGUUAGUAAACCAACUGAUCAAUAAAAAUUUGAUCAGGUAACAACUCCUGAGCCAAAGCACUAUUCUGGGAACAUUUUUGUGUCUAUGUGUUUAAUAGGGUUAAUAUUUUGUUCAUUUUUCUGUGUCAGACAAAUAGAAUUGUAAUGUUGCUGUACCUGUGUUAUUGUGUUUCAAAACCAUGUUUAUAUACGUCUGAGUUCAAAUGUUAAUUAAAGUGAGAAAUGGAAGAAACUAUGUUGGAUUUUUAACGCUAAAUUUCAAACUUAUUACUAAAAUAAAUAUAGUUCUAGUUUUUCCUGUGCUAUAUAUAAACAUA